UCGGUUCACAAAUCCCUCACGGGUAUAUGACAUAUCAUACAGGCAUUUUCCUUGUAAAAUAACUAUAACUUGUAAUAAUGGCAAACUGACUUUUAUCAUUAAGUGAUUGAAUUUGAAUUGCAUUUCAUCAGUUGUCUUCCUAUUGUUGUAUGAGAUACAUGUUUGCAGUUCAUUUCGUUUUCCUCCUAUUAGAUUGAUCCGGAAAUAAAACGAUAUUUUGAAUAUGCAAAUCAGUAUUAUUAAAAUCAUAAUGCAAUCUCAAAAAUCGAUAAAAUGUUGGUUGAGGAAGUUUCACGCCUGAAAGCUUUGGACAGAAUACACAAUAAUUAUCACGUUAUUCCGAUAUACCGUAGAAAUGUUUUAUCUUAUGAUUAUAUCUAUCUGAGUGUAUAGAAAUUGUAUUUCAUUCGCAAGGUGGUACCAAUGAUUUGAAUAAAUACCCAUGUAGGAUUGGUACUUAAGAUCAUAUUACUACACCAAAUUAAAUUCAAAUGCACUGGUAUCAUAUUGCGGAAGACAUUAGUUAUAAAUCAAAAUUUGGUUUUAAAUUUCAUUGAGGUACAUUUGUAAAUCAACAUUCAUGCUAUGUUUCUAAAUGUGUUAUAUGAUUUAAAAGUACAAUAUCAAAUACUACUGUAAAAUACCCGCCAAGAAUUCUAAAAAUAACGCUUUGAGGUUCGCUGUAACCCUUAUUAUUUAAAUGCAUUUUAGUAUUGGAACAUGGAAGUGUGUUCCUUAUAUCAGAUGAUUUGCUAAAAUAAUUAUAAAGGUUUCUUGUUUUGUGUGAGUAAUCGGCGAAAGUCCCCACCCGGACCUGAUGGAUGGAACUACUUUGGCGAAUCCCCAUCAAAUACUUGCGAGUUAGAUGUCUUUAAAACGUACUGAAACAAUAGGCUAAACAUUUUUCAAACAAUCCCAGAAACGUUAUAAUUAUUUUGAAUAUGAAAGUGGGCUAACAGGUUUGACAUUUAAAUUGCACGGGAGAUCGCCAUGAUUUUCAUCCUGACUGGACACUGGAUUUAAAUAAAUUCAGAAGAAUUUUUUUUGCUUUGUGUAACCUUUGCUGUUAUAAUAAUAUUUCAAUAUUAUUUCUGUCAAUGGUUAUGUUUUCAUGAAUAAUUUUUCUGACAAGUCAAUACUUAGACACAGGAAAUGUCUCACGUUUAUUAUACUGAGUAAGUUUAUUUUAACUUUCAAAUAAAUUCCAAGAUCUGUUUGACUUUACUGUUCAAAUAUUAUCGCAAAGUCAGGAUUUGAACCAAUUGCUUGCGAACUUUUGGUAAAACUAAUCGAGUAUCUAUAUUUAGAUAUACUUUUGUAAAGGAACCGAUAGUCAUAUAUUCACCUAGUCCUUCACCGGAGGACACAAGGUCUUGCAUUUUAUGAUAUACACCAGCUUCUUAUGCCUGUGGUGUAUUAUAAACAAAACACAAAGGAGCCGGUAGGUAACAAAUAUUAUAAUUAUGCAUGAGGCAAGUGUUUUAUCGCUUCAAUGUAGCGACGAUAAUACUUCCUGUUUGCAUGAGGUAAGUUUUUAAGUGUCUGUCUCCAUCGCUUUCAGACAUAGUUAUGAUAAUAUUUGCAUUAGAAAGUGUUUAGUCUUCAAAUGUAGAGACGAUACUGUAUAUCUACGAGGCAAUCGUUAAGUGUUUACCUUCAUUGCUUUAAAAAAGUGAGAAUAAUGCUUUUUAGCUCGACUAUACGAAGUAUAAGGAGAGCUAUCCUACUCGCCCCGGCGUCGGCGUCGGCGUCUUUCCGCGUCCCCACCUUGGUUAAAGUUUUGGUGCACUUUCUCUUUUUUCAACUUAUCUCUGUAAUUACUUGAUGGAUUUGAUUCAAACUUGAAAUACUUAUUCCUCAUCAUCAUCCACAUCAUCUGACAUAAGGGCCAUAACUCUGGCACCAAUAUUUCAUGAAUUAGCCCCCCUUUUCACUUAGAUUUUCAGUUUAAAGUUUUGAUGCACUUUCACUCUAUCUCUGUUAUUACUGAAUGGAUUUGAUUCAAACUUAAAAUAUUUGUUCAACAUCGACACCCACAUCAUAUGACACAAGGUGCAUAACUCUGGCACCAUUUUUUCAUGAAUUAUUCCCCCUUUUUACUUAGAAUUUCAGGUUAAAGUUUUGGUGCACUUUCACUCUACCUCUGUUAUUACUGAAUAGAUUUGAUUCAAACUUAAAAUAGUUGUUCAGCAUCAUCACCCACAUCAUAUGACACAAGAUGCUUAACUCUGGCACAGUUUUUCAUGAAUUAUUCCCCUUUUUACUUAGAAUUUCAGGUUAAAGUUUUGGUGCACUUUCACUCUAUCUCUGUUAUUACUAAAUGGAUCUGAUUCAAACUUAAACAAUUGUUCAAUAUCUUUACCCUUAUCAUAUGAUGCAAGGUGCAUAACUCUGGCACCAAUCUUUUAUUAUUUAUUCCCCCUUUUUACUUAGAAUUUUAGGUUAAAGUUUUGAUGCACUUUCACUCUGUCUUUGUUAUAACUGAAUGGAUUUGAUUCAAACUUAAAACAGUUGUUCAACAUCAUCACCCACACUAUAUGACACAAGCAGCAUAACUCUGGCACCAAUAUUUUAUGAAUUAUGUCCCUUUUUGCUUAGGAUGUACUUAUAUAGUGUUUUGAUACAUUUUAUCUUUACCUCUCUUAUUACUUAAAGUUGAUAUUUUUGACAUAGACUCAGGCUAUUGUGCAAUAUCUUCAUCUACAAUUGGAGUCAUUAAACAUUCCAGUGAUAGCUCUAGUUUCCUCAGAUAUGCCCAGUUUCACUAUCCAGCAUCGAAAAAGUCGAGCACGCUGUCUCCUGUGACAGCUCUUGUUUUUUUUUGCACGAGGAAAGUGUUUAAGUGUCUGUCUUUAUCGCUUUGUUAUAGUGACGAAAAUAUUUUAUAUUUAUAUGAGGUAAGUGUUUACUGUCUGUAUUCAUCACUUCAAAUUUUUGUUUCACGCCUUCUCUGCAUUUAUCACUAUUUAACUAUAAUGGCAAUAAUACUUGUUACUUGCAGAGGUAAGUGAUAACUUUCUGUCUUCACCGCUGCAAACAUAUUGACUACAAUACUUGUUAUUUGCACGAGGGAAUUGUUUUGGUGUCUGUGUUGUGUGUCAUCAUCGUUUCUAUGUAGUGUCAAUUAUAUUUGCUACUUUCACGCGAGGUAAAUGUCUUAGUGUCUGUCUUCAUCGCUUUAAUAUGGUUGCGACAAUACUUGCAACUUGCAUGAGGAAAUUGUUUUAGUGUCUGUCUUACAUCGCUUUAACUACAUUGACUAUAAUACCAUUGUUUUUGCAUGAGGUAAGUGACUGUCUUCAUUGCACUAGAUAUAGUGACGAUAACACUUGAUAUCUGGAUGAUGAAAGUGGUGUUGCAAGUGCUCCUAUUAUUGUGACGAGGACACAUUAAUUUCAUGCGGUUACUGAUUAUUCGCACGCGUUCUGCAAAGCAAAGCACUCAAAUGCCGGAAGAGGAAGUAAAUUCUCAGAUACACCAGAACAGAGAGGCUCAGGCCCAACAAGAAAUUGUGACACCUCACCAGAGUCCAACUAACAGAACAAAUAGCGAACAUGAACACGAAGAUAGAGGGAUAAUUAUCUUCAGUAUUAGGCAAUGGUUCGGUAUUUCCUUGCUAAGGAACCCUUACAAUACCUUCCGAAACCCGUCUGAGCCUCCACCAUAUGAUGCUGCAUGUGCUCCUCCACCAACAUAUGAGGAGACAGAAGGGGUUAGCAGAUCCACAAGAGAAACUGCUGAAGUUACCUGUGGGGAAAGGUUAGAGAUACCAGUUGAUUCGCCACCAUCAUAUACUGUUUAAAAGCGAGGAAGUUUAUAUGUGUAUGCUAAUCGUUAGUUAACGUUGCUUCAAAUCUACUGUUAAUAAAAAUAUAAAAAUGUUGUCAUUUUACUAAUCUGUUAAGAAAGUAUUGAUUGCUGUGGAGAAUCUGGCGUUUGCAGUACCAAAUUGAGUUCAAACAGUGUAAACUUGAUGUAUGACAUUUAGACAAAAACAUACUUGGAAUGUUAUAUUUAUGUAAACAUUUAAAACAGUUUUUAAGAAUUAGUGUCUGUAUAAAUUUUUCGCAUGCCUCUGGUGAGUAAAUGUUCUGGCGAUUAAUAUGGUGUACAAUAUUUCAUAAAUCUAUAUCUAAGGAUACACUAAGGAAUGAAUUGGCAUUUUUUUUGAUCAUCUUUUGUUUUUUAUUUUAUAUAUUAAACUAAUUAUACUUUCCUCUAUCAAAUGCCAAAAAGAUUAAUUUAAAAGUUCAAAUAUAAAACAUUUAUUUGAUGAAACUGCAUGAUAAACAGUAAACAUUUGACACGUGUUUAUCACACACCUUACUGAAAAGAACAACAAGGCUAUAAAUUUAGUCACUGUAUUUUUCGACCAUCAUCUUAGCAUUUGAUUUUAUGGUCAUCUAAUGCUCUAGAGGGGGUGUUAAUUGAAGAUAUGUUGCUCUGAUGUAACACAUAUUAUAUGGGUGAUUUUUGUCACGGAUUUUGACUGGCUGUCUUGGUCAAGAGGAAAUAAGUGUUGUAAUAAUGUUCAAACAGUCUAAUUCAUUGGUAGAAAAAAGGAAGUUUAGUUUUUGAUGAAGGCGGAGUCCAAGGAUAAAGUUCAUAUAACACAUUUCCGUCUUUUUCUCAGAACAGAAAUUCACAACUUGAUGAAGUGUUUGAAGUGAUUCAAUUCCGUUAUUUAUGAAGGACAUUGCAUUAAGAUUGGCAAUCUAUUUCUUUAAAGGGUGGUCUAUAAAAGAGUAUCACAGUUUUGUAAUAAACUAAUCCAUUCUUGAAUCAUAUCACUUUUAAUUGACUUUGGAAGGAAUCAGAGACCCAAAAAUAGUUUUGUUCAGUGUAACUCUUUUUUUUCUGACAAUUUAGGGACAAUUUGUGAUGCACGUUGGUAGUUUGGACAACCACACAAAGUUUGGCUCAUUUGACGUACAGAUAAGAUAGUUGAAUCUGUUUGAAGAUAACAAUAGAGUUUUUACAUAUUUUGUUAUCUAAACAUAAUCGUGAUGGCAUUGCACAAAAUCUUAUAUGAAAAGUAUCAUGGUAUAGCUUAAUCUUUCCCCUUCAUUUUGGUAUGUUACAUAACAUGUCUUUUCUUUGGAAAUAUGGAAAAAAAUAUGUUUAAGCACGGCACCCAAUCACUCCUUUGUGUUAGAUUAUAUGUCACACACUGUCUCCUCUUUGUAGUAUUUACUCUUCGGUUCUGAUACGGGAACAAUAAUUGAACUUUUAAUAUUCACUGUUUGGCUUUUCUCAUUAUCUAAUCUUAGGCGGGAGCAAUAAUAUGGCUUGUAGUACUCUCUGUUCGCGUGUACCCAUAGUGUAUUGAUAUUAGGCGGGAACAAUAAUAUGACCUGUAGUAUUUACCAUUCGGUUGUUCUCAUGAUAUUAAAUGAUUAUAUCAAUCUUAGGCUGGAACAAUGAUAUGCAUUUGUCGUCGGGCUGCUUAGUAGUAAUAUACAAGCUCGGUUGGCCGAUAUUUUGUUUACAUUCAGGGACAGGCACGACACAAACAAAACGUUAUAAUGAGGUUUUAACAAAACACAUGUCAGACGCAAUGUAUAACUUCCAGUUAUACAUAUGAUGUUUCAAAGACACUUGAUUACCUGUAAAUUCUGUAAAUUAAUUAUAUAUUAUAAUAUAUUAUUACAAAAAAUGACAUUGCGUUGCAACACAAAAAUGGUUCAAAAUAUAGCAGACAUUGAUCAAUCGGUUGUAAUUGGGUAAUGAAAUUAAUAUGUUUACUAAUAGAUGAAUUAUACGGUGUAAGGGAAAUAAAUCUUUGUAAAACCUG